rnacentral:rRNA from 1 species
GCUAAUACCGCAUAACGUCGCAAGACCAAAGAGGGGGACCUUCGGGCCUCUUGCCAUCGGAUGUGCCCAGAUGGGAUUAGCUAGUAGGUGGGGUAACGGCUCACCUAGGCGACGAUCCCUAGCUGGUCUGAGAGGAUGACCAGCCACACUGGAACUGAGACACGGUCCAGACUCCUACGGGAGGCAGCAUG